CCUACGGGUGGCUGCAGUGGGGAAUAUUGGACAAUGGGGGGAACCCUGAUCCGGCCAUGCCGCGUGUGUGAAGAAGGCCCUCGGGUUGUAAAGCACUUUCAGUGAGGAAGAACGCCUGGUGGUUAAUACCCAUCAGGAAAGACAUCACUCACAGAAGAAGCACCGGCUAACUCCGUGCCAGCAGCCGCGGUAAUACGGAGGGUGCGAGCGUUAAUCGGAAUUACUGGGCGUAAAGCGCGCGUAGGUGGCUUGAUAAGCCGGUUGUGAAAGCCCCGGGCUCAACCUGGGAACGGCAUCCGGAACUGUCAAGCUAGAGUGCAGGAGAGGAAGGUAGAAUUCCCGGUGUAGCGGUGAAAUGCGUAGAGAUCGGGAGGAAUACCAGUGGCGAAGGCGGCCUUCUGGACUGACACUGACACUGAGGUGCGAAAGCGUGGGUAGCAAACAGGAUUAGAUACCCUAGUAGUC
rnacentral:rRNA from 1 species